rnacentral:rRNA from 1 species
GCACCACAAGGGGUGAAGCCUGCGGUUCAAUUGGAGUCAACGCCAGAAAUCUUACCCGGAGAGACAGCAGAAUGAAGGUCAAGCUGAAGACUUUACCAGACAAGCUGAGAGGUGGUGCAUGGCCGUCGCCAGCUCGUGCCGUGAGAUGUCCUGUUAAGUCAGGUAACGAGCGAGAUCCCUGCCUCUAGUUGCCACCAUUACUCUCAGGAGUAGUGGGGCGAAUUAGCGGGACCGCCGCAGUUAAUGCGGAGGAAGGAAGGGGCCACGGCAGGUCAGUAUGCCCCGAAACUCUGGGGCCACACGCGGGCUGCAAUGGUAAUGACAAUGGGUCCCGAAUCCGAAAGGAAGAGGUAAUCCUCAAACAUUACCACAGUUAUGACUGAGGGCUGCAACUCGCCCUCACGAAUAUGGAAUCCCUAGUAACUGCGUGUCAUUAUCGCGCGGGGAAUACGUCCCUGCUCCUUGCACACACCGCCCGUCGUUUCAUUGAAGUGAGCUUUUAGUGAGGUGACGUCUGAUUGGCGUUAUCGAACUUGAGGUUCGUGACAAGGGAA